rnacentral:rRNA from 1 species
UACGUAGGGACCAAGCGUUGUUCGGAUUUACUGGGUGUAAAGGGCGCGUAGGCGGCAAUUCAAGUCAGUUGUGAAAUCUCCGAGCUUAACUCGGAACGGUCAACUGAUACUGUUUUGCUAGAGUGCAGAAAGGGCAACCGGAAUUCUUGGUGUAGCGGUGAAAUGCGUAGAUAUCAAGAGGAACACCUGAGGCGAAGGCGGGUUGCUAGGCUGACACUGACGCUGAGGCGCGAAAGCUAGGGUAGCAAACGGG